AACGAACGCUGGCGGCGUACUUAACACAUGCAAGUCGGACGAGAAAGGAGACUUCGGUCUCUGAGUAAAGUGGCGCACGGGUGCGUAACACGUAAGUAAUCUACCCUAGACUCCAGGAUAACUCCCUGAAAAGGGGGCUAAUACUAGAUAGUUCCCAAGGGUACAAGCCCUGGGGGGAAGGCGGGCCUCUAUACUAUGCUCGCGGUUUAGGAUGAGCUUGCGGCCCAUUAGCUAGUUGGUAGGGUAAAGGCCUACCAAGGCUACGAUGGGUAGCUGGUCUGAGAGGAUGAUCAGCCACACUGGCACUGAGACACGGGCCAGACUCCUACGGGAGGCAGCAGUGGGGAAUUUUGCGCAAUGGGCGAAAGCCUGACGCAGUAACGCCGCGUGGAGGAUGAAGGCCUUCGGGUUGUAAACUCCUGUCAGAAGGAACGACGGAGCGGGGGUAAAUAAUCCCUUCUUCCAGACGGUACCUUCAAAGGAAGCCCCGGCUAAUUCCGUGCCAGCCGCCGCGGUAAUAC
rnacentral:rRNA from 1 species